UACGAAGGGGGCUAGCGUUGCUCGGAAUCACUGGGCGUAAAGCGCACGUAGACGGCUUCUUAAGUCAGGGGUGAAAUCCUGGAGCUCAACUCCAGAACUGCCCUUGAUACUGAGGAGCUUGAGUCCGGGAGAGGUGAGUGGAACUGCGAGUGUAGAGGUGAAAUUCGUAGAUAUUCGCAAGAACACCAGUGGCGAAGGCGGCUCACUGGCCCGGUACUGACGCUGAGGUGCGAAAGCGUGGGGAGCAAACAGG
rnacentral:rRNA from 1 species